CCGCCCAGCGCCCGGGGGAGGCGAGGCCCGGCCGCGGCACCGUGUCCGCUCGCGGGCUCGGUUCCCCCGGCGGCGCCGACUGCCGUCCCCGGGACUCGGAGCCACGUCCUCCCUCUCUGGGGCUCGGAGGCUGAAAAUAGGUUGAUUUUGUUUCCUUUGCUUGAUGAUUAAGAGGAUAGUCUCAUUGCCAUUUAAAAGAAGAGUUUUACAUGAACCAUCAGAUAAAUUGUGAAGCAAGAAAUAAACAAGUUAAUGUGUUAAGAGCCAUUGACAUUUGAAUUUGAAGAUCAUCAGAAGUGAAGAUAAAACAUCUCAAAAAUUAUAAUAUAGCGAGAAAAGACAAAAAUAAGCAAGAAGAUAGUAUCUUAUGAUUUGUACUAACUAAUCUGGUAAAUAGGGAACAGUACUCAAAAUUAUGGAGGGAUAAAUCACUGAAUGAUGCCAAUACUUUGCAUUUUAACUAACCUUUCCAGACUUGAAAGAGAAAGAGACAUUAAAUGCUCUUCUUUUCCUACUGAAUUUUUUAAUUUAGUUUCUGCAAACAAAAUAAAGUACCUGUUACCUGUGCUAACAUAGUGUGCUUGGAGCUCUAAUGAUCUGACUGGUCUUCAGUUUAGUAUGACAUUUUCUCAGUUAAACUGGUAUGUAAGUAACUUUCCCCUCUAGGCUACUUAUGAAUCCAAAUGAAUUUUCAUUUUUGCUCUAGUUUGUUUGUCAGAGAUUUUUGAAGAAGUUCUGAGAAGCUCUUUUAAGAGAGUGCUGAGGGUGUUGAGAUUGAUUGGUGCUGGAACCCAAGGUCCCUCCUUCUCUCCAGUUCUUACUGGAUCCCCUAUGGACACAUAAAUUUUGGCUAGCAUACUUGGCUUUUGCCUGUUUUAUUUAUUUGUAUUUCCAGAUACGAUCUUUGGAGAAGCAGUACUCUGCAGGAAAAAAGAUAUAUGUACACCAUUUUUUAUACAACCUGGUUUUUCAGACUUGCUGUUGGAUUACCAAAUAAUACACACCCUGACUUUCAGUUCAGGAAGUAUAGUUGAUAGACCUUAAAAUAAAAUAAUACAAAUUAAACUGUAUCCAAGGUCACAUGUACCUUAGAACCUUGGGGUUUUCUAAACUAAAUGCCAACAGGCACCAGCUGUCCCAGAGCUCAAAUCCCCUUUGUUUCUCUGAAGAAUACAAAGUGUAGUCUCUGAUCUUUGUCAAUCAGAUGCCAUUAUGAUAAGAUCACUUAUGCCAUCUCUUUUAUACUAAAGAUUGGUUAAAUUAAAAAGUGCAGGGUUCUGGGGUAGCAUUUUAAAAAUAAUUAUGAGCUGCAAAUAAUUUUGUUUUGGGGGGUUAUUUUUCUAUUUUGGGGACUGCAAAUAGUCUGACAAUGAGUCUUUUGUGUCCCAAAUUCUUUAUACACACUAAAGGCCUUUUAUUAUUUUUUAAAUAAAAUGUUCUGCAGAAUGACUAAUAGAAUAUGAACAGUGCUUGUGACACUGUAGUCCAUUGUGUAAGUGUUGAGAGUAAAAUUUGCAUUCCUAGAAAAGGUUUUUCACAGUCAGGAUACAGAACGCAUUCUUUAAUGUCCUCUGGCAAAUGUACUAUGUGUGUGCUCAGGACAUUACUACGGAGUAUACUUUCCAUGGAGUACUGAUGAAAAAUGAAAUUGGAGUGAAGCGCUUUAAAUAAGGCAAGUGGUCUAGACCUUAUUGUAAUGACUGUGGUCAGUA